CCCUGGCUAACUAAGCUGGUAGAGCGCUCCACUGGAAAUGGAACGGUCCUGGGUUUGAUACCCGGACCAGGCG
rnacentral:tRNA from 1 species